rnacentral:rRNA from 1 species
AUUGAACGCUGGCGGCAGGCCUAACACAUGCAAGUCGAGCGGAUGAGAGGAGCUUGCUCCUCGAUUCAGCGGCGGACGGGUGAGUAAUGCCUAGGAAUCUGCCUAGUAGUGGGGGACAACGUUUCGAAAGGAACGCUAAUACCGCAUACGUCCUACGGGAGAAAGUGGGGGAUCUUCGGACCUCACGCUAUUAGAUGAGCCUAGGUCGGAUUAGCUAGUUGGUAGGGUAAAGGCCUACCAAGGCGACGAUCCGUAACUUGUCUGAGAGGAUGAGCAGUCACACUGGAACUGAGACACGGUCCAGACUCCUACGGGAGGCAGCAGUGGGGAAUAUUGGACAAGGGGCGAAAACCUGAUCCAGCCAUGCCGCGUGUGUGAAGAAGGCCUUCGGGUCGUAAAGCACUUUAAGUUGGGAGGAAGAGCUCAUAGCGAAUACCUGUGAGUUUUGACGUUACCAACAGAAUAAGCACCGGCUAACUUCGUGCCAGCAGCCGCGGUAA